AGGUCCGUGACGGGUAGGCUGGCUAAUAAGCGAAAGCAGAACGAUAAAGAAACAGAACGAUAACGAAAGAAGGUAGAUGGAGAAACCGAUGAAGAAUGGGAACAAGAAGUCGAUGAAGGGCAAGUGAUGAAGAUGGUUAUCAAGAAGCGAAGCCCGCCGAAGGAUUACAACGCAUCAUCAGGUUUUCGUGGUGACGAUGGUGUGUUUUUUGGUUGGCUGCUAUGUGUUGUGAAGAUGGAUGUUGUUGUGAAGACCAUUUUUUAGAAGCAUUACAACUAUUGAUAUAAAAUUCAUUUUUAUUUUCAUUUUCAUUGUUAGUAUGCCCAUUUUUGGAUGAA